rnacentral:tRNA from 1 species
GGGCCCGUAGCUUAGUCCGGUCAGAGCGCCCGGCUCAUAACCGGGCGGUCAUGCGUUCGAAUCGCAUCGGGCCCACUA